rnacentral:rRNA from 1 species
UGCAACAGAGCAGGUAUCAGGCUCAACAACGUUAGCCCAUUACACCUUGCCAAGCCACAUCCCCACGGAUUACACAGCAGUGACUAACAUUAGGCAAUGAGCAACCCAAACUCGACCUAGCUAAAACUUCUUUGGCCGGCAAAUCUCGUGCCAGCAGCCGCGGUUACACGGGAGACCAAAGAUAACCCCCAACGGCGUAAAGAGUGACCACAGAUUUUCACACCUACCACCAAGAUCCCAAAAUUCUGUCUUAGAGAUGAAAUCCCAAGACACCCGGAACCCCCAAGCAUCCACAAAUUAGGCCAUCUGACUCACGAAAACCAGGCCCCAAACU